GAAAUUUCUUCUGUGUGAUACCAAUUCCGCCGCAAUGAAUUGACGGAAAAUUCCUUUUCUGACACCCUAAUAUAGCCGAAAAUUGCGUCUUCCAAACCAGAAUCUAACAGAGGUACUUUAACGAUGUUAGUAACCAUUGAAAAAACGUCUGCGGUUAACGUUGAUACUAAUUUGGUCUGCAAACCCAUAGAAGAAUUUGAAACAGACAACCAAUUGCUACUUCUUAUAUGCUACCUGGUUCCAAUACUGCAAUUAUACAUCGAAGCGAAGAUCUUGCAUAUGACCCACUAUUUGACCGCGAUGGACAGAAAAAUUUUAUGAUGGAAAAGAUAAGUAAUGUGGCAAAUACGGUCAAUGGGUAAAAUACAUGCUACGAAAUUGUCAAGAGUAUCAAUUGGAGCUUCAACGCCAAAUUGAUGGAACCUUUUCUAAAAGUCAGUCACGAGGAAUUCCAUGAAACGUUGUGAAGCCGCUGCGCUGCUCGACAGUUCACCGGAGAUCAAAGAAAACAUCACUUCUGUUGCAAUUGCUGAAUGUAUUACCACUGAUGAUACGGGAAGAGAGAACGGAACAGCACAAGAAAACAGCGACACAGAAGAGGAGAGCGAUCGUGUUUAAUAUUGAGUAUCGUAGUUCUAAGUUAUCUUCAGUUAUUUUUUUAUUCGAUACCAAGCUAUCUGUAAUUCGUUAAUCUAGAUGUAAUUGAAGACUAGA